rnacentral:rRNA from 1 species
GGGCGUCUCUAUCUCAUUGCGAGAGGAGGCGCACCUAGAGCGUACACGCUGAUACCCGAAAGAUGGUGAACUAUGCCUGGCCAGGACGAAGCCAGGGGAAACCCUGGUGGAGGUCCGCAGCGAUUCUGACGUGCAAAUCGAUCGUCGGAGCUGGGUUUAGGGGCGAAAGACCAAUCGAACCAUCUAGUAGCUGGUUCCCUCUGAAGUUUCCCUCAGGAUAGCUUGCGCUCGGAAUGAAACGAGUCUCAUCCGGUAGAGCGAAUGAUUAGAGGCCUUGGGGUCGAAACGACCUCAACCUAUUCUCAAACUCCAAAUAGAUGAGAACCCCGGCUUUCUUGAAUUUUGAUUUAUGAAGCCGGGGGCUUGGAUCAGAGUGCCAAGUGGGCCAAUUUU